rnacentral:rRNA from 1 species
UGGGGAAUUUUGGACAAUGGGCGAAAGCCUGAUCCAGCAAUGCCGCGUGUGUGAAGAAGGCCUUCGGGUUGUAAAGCACUUUUGUCCGGAAAGAAAUCCUUGGCUCUAAUACAGUCGGGGGAUGACGGUACCGGAAGAAUAAGCACCGGCUAACUACGUGCCAGCAGCCGCGGUAAUACGUAGGGUGCAAGCGUUAAUCGGAAUUACUGGGCGUAAAGCGUGCGCAGGCGGUUUGCUAAGACCGAUGUGAAAUCCCCGGGCUCAACCUGGGAACUGCAUUGGUGACUGGCAGGCUAGAGUAUGGCAGAGGGGGGUAGAAUUCCACGUGUAGCAGUGAAAUGCGUAGAGAUGUGGAGGAAUACCGAUGGCGAAGGCAGCCCCCUGGGCCAAUACUGACGCUCAUGCACGAAAAGCGUGGGGAGCAAACAGGAUUAGAUACCCUGGUAGUCCACGCCCUAAACGAUGUCAACUAGUUGUUGGGGAUUCAUUCCUUAGUAACGUAGCUAACGCGUGAAGUUGACCGCCUGGGGAGUACGGUCGCAAGAUUAAAACUCAAAGGAAUUGACGGGGUCAUAGCUGUUUCCU